rnacentral:lncRNA from 1 species
AUGAGCGUCCCAGGCCAACUACUUCACCGGCGAGGUAAGAGGACUGUCUGCCAGUGCUGCCUGUCUGUCAUGGGGCUUCCCGACAGGAAAAAGCCUUUCCUUUCCUGCCACAUCCGUGUCCGGAGCACUGGAGUGAGCAGCCCCUCUCCAUUCCCGUGCCUGAUGUUCAUAGUAGAGUUCUGGAGGUUCCCAGGCAACUUGCAGCCAAGUUUGCUUUGGCUGGCUUUGCAGGGAACCUGGGAGGCAACUCUUUUCCCCCUUCUUAAUCCUUCUGACCAGCGCUCUCCUUUGUCUUCCUUCCCAGGCUGUUCAAGACAUGAUCAAUCAAGUACUGGAGAAGCUGGAAGAAAGCCCAUUCCGGAUGCCGAAUUAUGCCAGCAAGACUUCAGGCGCUGCUGCUAUCGUUCAUUCUCCAAGACUUCUCCCUCCUGGACUGGAAGUGGAAAGUCUUUUUGUUGUCCCACUUUCAUGUUAGAGUUUGCUGUGCCGGUACACUAUGAUGAGGGCCCCUGAGAUAC